AGGAAGGUAGUGACGGCGUAGGUAACCAGGCUCUGUAGCCGUGGCAGCGGCCGUGGCAGGCUGGCUGGGUACCGGCUGCCGCUGACCCGGGAGACGCUACAUCAACCGGGGUUGCAGCGCCCUGCCGCCGCGGGGCCGGCAGCCAUGGCCAAGGACAUCCUGGGUGAAGCAGGGCUGCACUUUGAUGAACUGAACAAGCUGAGGGUGUUGGACCCAGAGGUUACCCAGCAGACCAUAGAGCUGAAGGAAGAGUGCAAAGACUUUGUGGACAGUGAGUAUUGGGGAGAUACAGUGCCACUCAGCUUUGAGCUGCCAUUCCAACUGUACCCCAGGCUCAUCUUGGCCCUGCCACAGUGGAGCUGCUGGCUCCCUGGAGGUUGAAUCUGGCAUCUGUGAGUUCCCACGUGCCACCCUUUUCUGUCUGCCCUCUUGUGCUCUCAUGUGUCCCCAACAGAGCACCAGUCAAACCAAACACUGGGAUGGGGAGGGGAGGGUGUUUUUUAGAUAUGCCAUCUUUCAUUUCUUGCUCUUAGAAACCUUAAACUUUCUGGGAACACAAUCAUGGCUUGGGGGUGGGAAAUAGAAUUAUGUACUCAUGAUUUGAUUUCUUCAGAGAAAGUCUUCUCAGUGGCAGGUUCUCUGUUAUUUGGAGUUAGAAGUGAUAGGUGAAGUUUCUAGAAGCAGCUCAACAGACUUACUGAAGUAAUCUUUUGGCUAGAAAUCUUCAGGAAGCCUCCUGUCCCAG
rnacentral:sRNA from 1 species